GACGCAAGGCCUGAAGGCGGGGUCAAGGGUACAACCCUGGCGGGGGUGGUGCCCGUGGGGCGGGGCAAGAAAAGGGGAAGAGCCCAACGGUAUUAACCCCUCGGCAGCCGCGGCGCUGCUAUGCUGCAGUCUCCCGCAGAGCCCUUGGGAAACCAUCCCGCUAGCUAAUUCAGCGUGAGGGGGCCGGGUCCCAUUGAAGAUGCGCAGGCGUCUGCACACGGCGGUGUGGAGGAGAAUAUGACAUCAGAUAUUAGAAAGUCGAAAGCCCAGCGUCAAGUCUAUUUGGUCAAAGAUCUCAGUGAACACCCAUCUGUCCGUCUUGAAGACCUCAUGACACCAGAGAUGGCAAAGGAGAGACGCGAAGAUUACCUCUGCUGGGUUAACAUGGCACAAUCUCGGCUCAAUGAACCCAUCAGCUCCCAGGUUUGAGGACUUCUCCGGCUUCCGCAUCCCGAGUAGCUGGGAUUACGGACGCCUGCCACCACACCCAGCUAAAAUCAUUUUAUGAAUGCAUAUUUCCAUCUGGGUGAAAAAAAAAUCACAAGCCUCUCUCUCUUCCUACUGAGCACCUGUGAACAGUGACCUGCAGUUUGUGGCUGCAGCCAGUCCUCAUGGAGCCUGCUGUUCUUACAUUUCAUUCUGAGGCUCACAUUCUCAGUCACCAUGCAGGAGAACACCCGCCCCAUCCUGGGUCAUUACAGAGUGGGCCAAUCCAUCUGCUGCAUCUGAGGAGCUGGGUCCAGCUUCUACGGUGAAUCCAUAUAUUUCUGUAUUUCCUGGAUAAGGAAGAGGAAAGGAGCUGAGCUGGUGGAGGAAGAAGAGCUAAUAUUAACUGACUCCUUAUUUUGUACCAGCAAAGCAGUUGCCGCUACAGACUGAAUGCAUUUGGGCCAUCCGUGGGUUAGUGGGUUCACGGAAUUCACAUCAAAUCAGAAUCAAAACCAAAACCAAACUGCAGAUAAAGGCACGCCCGUUCCUCAAGCAAUUUAAACCAAGUGAAAAUCAAAACCAAAACCAAAGUGCUGAUAAAGGCACGCUGUGGGUGAUCAGGCCACGCUUCCACCCAAAUGGAGUGGACAAGUUCCCAAGACCGGUCCUGUCAAGCAAUUCAAGUCAAAAUCAAAACCAUAACCAAAGUGCCGAUAAAGCCACGCCCAUUUGUCAAGGAAUUCAAACCAAGUCAAAAUCAAAACCAAAACCAAAGUGCCGACAAAGGCACGCCCGUUUGCCAAGGAAUUCAAACCAAGUCAAAAUCAAAACCAAAACCAAAGUGCCGACAAAGGCACUUUUGCCAAGGAAUUCAAACCAAGUCAAAAUCAAAACCAAAACCAAAGUGCCGAUAAAGGCACGCCGUGGGUGAUCAGGCCACGCUUCCACUCAAAUGGAGUGGGCAAGUUCCCAAGACCGGUCCUACCGUAUUCCAGAUAUCUGGACUCCAAGCGCCAGUUCCUUCCCGGUGUUCAGCCACUGCGUUGAUCCUCUGCUGGGGCCUGCCAUGCACUGCUCUGACGAGGCAUUCCACCGGGGCAAACGCCUACCCAGGAGCACGCUCAGGAACCGCGUAGCUCAAGCUGGCCGGAGUCCCCUGCAGGGAUGCUCCACAGGGCAGGCCUAAGCCGCCUAAGAGGCUGCCUCGCUUCCCGGUCAGGGAACCAAGAAAUGUAGCAGGAUGAGCCACAGACAAAACUCCUCAGACACCGGGUUAAACAAGGAAGAGGCUUUAUUCGGCCGGGAAAUCGGCAGACUUGCGUCUCAAGAACAGAACUAAGCUCCCCGAAGAAAGAGUUCCUGGCCCUUUUAAGGGCUUACAACUCUAAGGGGUCCAGGUGACAGGGUCGUGAUAGACUGAGCAAGCAUGGGGUACGUGACUAGGUGGGGGUAAGCAAGGCAAGUAUUUCUCCACACCAUUGUCUGUGAUCUAUAGAUAGCACAAGCGAUUAGGGUGGGGGUUAAUCUUCAGCCUACAGGCUAAAGCAACACCAGAGAGGAUGGAAGUGAGACCCCUGGAGUUGUGGUUGUGCUGAGAUUGGACCUUCCCAUGGCUGCUGAGACCCUGGGGCAUUGGGGACACCUGAGGAUGCCUCCCUGCUCUUACUUUGUGGUCACCAAGAGAUUGGGGUUACCACAACCCUAUAACGUAGAGAAUCCCUGUCCCCUUCCAUGCCACUUCACUCCUUAGGGAAGCAAACGCCCUCCCAGGAGCUCAUUCCCAUUCCUGGGCCACAGUCAAAGGGAAAACCUGAUCCAGACAUGAAUUUCCUUGGGCCUCUGCAUUUCCAGACAUCCUGUCAUUGCAUGCAUGGGGCUGACUGUCUCAUCUCAGCUUCAGAAGGGCAGGCAGAGUUGUGGACACCCUGCUGAGCAAAUGCCCACCGGAGUCAGGGGUUCAGCUUUCCUGCAUCACUGCUGCAGGUGGGGGCUGGGGAGGGGGGCAUAGGGGGUCCUAGGGAGUAGUUUUUGUAUGAGCCUGUGUCACAGCGCUUGAUGUUUAGCAGAGAGACCCAGCUGACCGUCCUAAAGAAAGAUGCAACUGAAACUCACUUCCCAGGGCCUUUAUAACUGAAUGAGACAACAUACUUAGGUAUCUGGUCCUUGAUAUCUGGGAGAUGCUGAGUAAAUGAAAAUGAUCCUU